AGAGAUUUAUGCCAAAAAAGAAGCUUCUAACUUUUAGUUAAGCGGUUAAAUUCCGUUGAUGUCUC
rnacentral:tRNA from 1 species